rnacentral:rRNA from 1 species
GACGAACGCUGGCGGCGUGCUUAACACAUGCAAGUCGAGCGAUGAAGUUCCUUCGGGAACGGAUUAGCGGCGGACGGGUGAGUAACACGUGGGUAACCUGUCUCAUAGAGGGGAAUAGCCUUUCGAAAGGAAGAUUAAUACCACAUAAGAUUGUAGCUUCGCAUGGAGUAGCAAUUAAAGGAGUAAUCCGCUAUGAGAUGGACCCGCGUCGCAUUAGCUAGUUGGUGAGGUAACGGCUCACCAAGGCGACGAUGCGUAGCCGACCUGAGAGGGUGAUCGGCCACAUUGGGACUGAGACACGGCCCAGACUCCUACGGGAGGCAGCAGUGGGGAAUAUUGCACAAUGGGGGAAACCCUGAUGCAGCAACGCCGCGUGAGUGAUGACGGUCUUCGGAUUGUAAAACUCUGUCUUCAGGGACGAUAAUGACGGUACCUGAGGAGGAAGCCACGGCUAACUACGUGCCAGCCGCCGCGGUAA